UACGGAGGGUGCAAGCGUUAUCCGGAUUCACUGGGUUUAAAGGGUGCGUAGGUGGGCUAGUAAGUCCGUGGUGAAAUCCCCGAGCUUAACUCGGGAACUGCCGUGGAGACUAUUAGUCUUGAAUAUCGUGGAGGUAAGCGGAAUAUGUCAUGUAGCGGUGAAAUGCUUAGAUAUGACAUAGAACACCGAUAGCGGAGGCAGCGUACUGGGCGAUUAUUGACACUGAGGCACGAAAGCGUGGGGAGCAAACAGG
rnacentral:rRNA from 1 species